UAGUAAGAAUGAAGAUGAAUUCUGCUCUGGUUGCAAUAUUCGUGGCAACCAGAGUCGAAUUCUUCUUCAUUCUUACUA